rnacentral:tRNA from 1 species
GGAGAGAUGGCUCAGUGGUUAAGAGUGCAGGCUGCUCUUCUGGAGGGCCUGGGUUCGAGUCCCAGCACCCACA